rnacentral:rRNA from 1 species
GCAAACUACCUUACCCCCUUGAAUCCACCUGGUUUUGGAAGCUAAGCAGGGUCAGCUGUGGUUAGUAUUUGGAUGGGAAACUCUAAGAGAACAGCAAGAAUCUCUGCC